rnacentral:rRNA from 1 species
UACGUAGGGGGCUAGCGUUGUCCGGAAUCAUUGGGCGUAAAGCGCGCGUAGGCGGCCCGGUAAGUCCGCUGUAAAAGUCAAAGGCUCAACCUUUGAAUGUCAGUGGAUACUGCCGGGCUAGAGUCCGGAAGAGGCGAGUGGAACUCCUGGUGUAGCGGUGGAAUGCGCAGAUAUCAGGAAGAACACCGACGGCGAAGGCGGCUCGCUGGGCCACACCUGACGCUGAGACGCGAAAGCUAGGGGAGCGAACAGG